rnacentral:rRNA from 1 species
UAAUUCUAGAGCUAAUACAUGCUGGUAGGCCCGACUUUUGCGGAAGGGCGGUAUUUAUUAGAUAACAAGCCAAUAUUCCUCUGGUCUAUUGUGGUGACUCAUAAUAACUGAUCGAAUCGCAAGGCCUUUGGCCGCGAUAAGUCAUUCAAGUUUCUGCCCCAUCAGCUUUCGAUGGUAGUGUAUUGGACUACCAUGGCGUUUACGGGUAACGGAGGAUUAGGGUUCGAUUCCGGAGAGGGAGCCUGAGAAACGGCUACCACAUCUAAGGAAGGCAGCAGGCGCGUAAAUUACCCAAUCCUGACUCAGGGAGGUAGUGACAAGAAAUAACGAACCGUGACAUUGUUACGGGAUU